rnacentral:rRNA from 1 species
UACGUAGGGUGCGACCGUUGUCCGGAAUUAUUGGGCGUAAAGAGCUUGUAGGCGGUUUGUCGCGUCUGCUGUGAAAUUUCGGGGCUCAACCCCGAACUUGCAGUGGGUACGGGCAGACUAGAGUGUGGUAGGGGAGACUGGAAUUCCUGGUGUAGCGGUGAAAUGCGCAGAUAUCAGGAGGAACACCGAUGGCGAAGGCAGGUCUCUGGGCCACUACUGACGCUGAGAAGCGAAAGCAUGGGGAGCGAACAGG